rnacentral:lncRNA from 1 species
CAUAGGAUAUUAUGCAAAGUUUAUUGCAGCAGCAACCACACGUGGAGGCGUUCAUUCGCAAUUCGAACUUUCCACUUCCCACUCACGUUGCUGUCCAUCCAGUAUACAGACUUCAGAAUUACAAUGGGAGGGGGCCAAUCAACCACAACUACUACAACCACACAGGCUACAUCAAUUGCAACUACAACACCAGUGAUUCCAACUACAACACCAGUGAUUCAAACUACAACAGUCUCACCUAGACUGACGUUAGAGUCUCAAAUCUCCAUCGCUUUCUCCUGCAUUGCGCUUAUACUCGUCUUGGCACUGUCUUCAGCAGCCAUUUAUAUCUUCUGGUGGCGAAAAACACCAUUGCCAACGGUGACUUGCUGCCAAGCUGGAAAAGAAAAAGCAGAAGCAGACUGUGAAAAUGAGACACCACACACCAUUAUAUAUGGAAAUGUUGGGACUGUUGCCAAGGAUGAUGUGGAUGUAGAUGUAACCUACAGUGAUGUGACUGUCAUGAAAAGGACCGAAAUUAAACUAGCAGUGCAGAAAGUACCAUACCAUGCCAAACUGUGAGUAUUUUAUUCACACAUACACCUUCCUGUCCCUGAUAGUCUGCUAACCAAAACCUAUUUGUGCACGGAAGUAGGCCAUCUCCAAACCGCAGCUGUGCAACAUAGGUCAUGUAUAGGUCAGUUUGUUUGGUGGCAAAUGAAACCAAUGACCCACUAAUUUAGUGAAGUUAGUGAAUUCAUUAUAUUAAACAUUUUCUUAGUUAAUUAUGUAUAUUUUAUUUAUUUUCUGCAAACAUUAUUAACACAUAUCCUACCGCACACACAGGCUGUAGCUAUAAUCAUCAUGAAAAGCAGAAAUAGCGGAAAUAACUGUGCAUAUGAUAAAGACACAAAAUUAAUUUAAUUUUCAACAUGUCAAUUGUAGAAAUAUAUUGUAUUAACAAACUGCAAAAUUAACAAAGGCAAAACUUUUUAAUAGUUUACUAUGUGCGUUACUCACAG